ensembl:miRNA
CGAGAUGGGGCUGGCUGAGUGGGGGGCAGGCUCUAGGUUGGCCAGCUACCUUGGCACUGGACUCUGAGCUGGACCCAAGCUAACUAGACCCAGGACGGCCAAGGCCCAGACUUUUGCUUCUUCCCCAGCAAUUCCCAUUUCUGAA